rnacentral:rRNA from 1 species
GACGAACGCUGGCGGCGUGCUUAACACAUGCAAGUCGAACGGUGAAGCGCCUUCCUUUUUGGUGGGUGUGGAUGAGUGGCGAACGGGUGAGUAACACGUGAGUAACCUGCCCCCUUCUUCUGGAUAACCGCAUGAAAGUGUGGCUAAUACGGGAUAUUCUGGGUCUGUCGCAUGAUGGGUCUGGGAAAGAUAUUGUUUCGGUGGGGGAUGGGCUCGCGGCCUAUCAGCUUGUUGGUGGGGUGAUGGCCUACCAAGGCGGUGACGGGUAGCCGGCCUGAGAGGGUGGACGGUCACACUGGGACUGAGACACGGCCCAGACUCCUACGGGAGGCAGCAGUGGGGAAUAUUGCACAAUGGGCGCAAGCCUGAUGCAGCGACGCCGCAUGAGGGAUGGAGGCCUUCGGGUUGUGAACCUCUUUCGCCAGUGAAGCAGGCCUGCCUCGUUUGUGGGUGGGUUGACGGUAGCUGGAUAAGAAGCGCCGGCUAACUACGUG